rnacentral:rRNA from 1 species
GCAGCGACACUGUGUGUUGUUGGGUAGGGGAGCGUUCUGUAAGCCUGUGAAGGUGUACUGUGAGGUAUGCUGGAGGUAUCAGAAGUGCGAAUGCUGACAUAAGUAACGAUAAAGCGGGUGAAAAGCCCGCUCGCCGGAAGACCAAGGGUUCCUGUCCAACGUUAAUCGGGGCAGGGUGAGUCGACCCCUAAGGCGAGGCCGAAAGGCGUAGUCGAUGGGAAACAGGUUAAUAUUCCUGUACUUGGUGUUACUGCGAAGGGGGGACGGAGAAGGCUAUGUUGGCCGGGCGACGGUUGUCCCGGUUUAAGCGUGUAGGCUGGUUUUCCAGGCAAAUCCGGAAAAUCAAGGCUGAGGCGUGAUGACGAGGCACUACGGUGCUGAAGCAACAAAUGCCCUGCUUCCAGGAAAAGCCUCUAAGCAUCAGGUAACAUCAAAUCGUACCCCAAACCGACACAGGUGGUCAGGUAGAGAAUACCAAGGCGCUUGAGAGAACUCGGGUGAAGGAACUAGGCAAAAUGGUGCCGUAACUUCGGGAGAAGGCACGCUGAUAUGUAGGUGAAGUCCCUUGCGGAUGGAGCUGAAAUCAGUCGAAGAUACCAGCUGGCUGCAACUGUUUAUUAAAAACACAGCACUGUGCAAACACGAAAGUGGACGUAUACGGUGUGACGCCUGCCCGGUGCCGGAAGGUUAAUUGAUGGGGUUAGCGGUAACGCGAAGCUCUUGAUCGAAGCCCCGGUAAACGGCGGCCGUAACUAUAACGGUCCUAAGGUAGCGAAAUUCCUUGUCGGGUAAGUUCCGACCUGCACGAAUGGCGUAAUGAUGGCCAGGCUGUCUCCACCCGAGACUCAGUGAAAUUGAACUCGCUGUGAAGAUGCAGUGUACCCGCGGCAAGACGGAAAGACCCCGUGAACCUUUACUAUAGCUUGACACUGAACAUUGAGCCUUGAUGUGUAGGAUAGGUGGGAGGCUUUGAAGUGUGGACGCCAGUCUGCAUGGAGCCGACCUUGAAAUACCACCCUUUAAUGUUUGAUGUUCUAACGUUGACCCGUAAUCCGGGUUGCGGACAGUGUCUGGUGGGUAGUUUGACUGGGGCGGUCUCCUCCUAAAGAGUAACGGAGGAGCACGAAGGUUGGCUAAUCCUGGUCGGACAUCAGGAGGUUAGUGCAAUGGCAUAAGCCAGCUUGACUGCGAGCGUGACGGCGCGAGCAGGUGCGAAAGCAGGUCAUAGUGAUCCGGUGGUUCUGAAUGGAAGGGCCAUCGCUCAACGGAUAAAAGGUACUCCGGGGAUAACAGGCUGAUACCGCCCAAGAGUUCAUAUCGACGGCGGUGUUUGGCACCUCGAUGUCGGCUCAUCACAUCCUGGGGCUGAAGUAGGUCCCAAGGGUAUGGCUGUUCGCCAUUUAAAGUGGUACGCGAGCUGGGUUUAGAACGUCGUGAGACAGUUCGGUCCCUAUCUGCCGUGGGCGCUGGAGAACUGAGGGGGGCUGCUCCUAGUACGAGAGGACCGGAGUGGACGCAUCACUGGUGUUCGGGUUGUCAUGCCAAUGGCACUGCCCGGUAGCUAAAUGCGGAAGAGAUAAGUGCUGAAAGCAUCUAAGCACGAAACUUGCCCCGAGAUGAGUUCUCCCUGACUCCUUGAGAGUCCUGAAGGAACGUUGAAGACGACGACGUUGAUAGGCCGGGUGUGUAAGCGCAGCGAUGCGUUGAGCUAACCGGUACUAAUGAACCGUGAGGCUUAACCUU